UCCCUCUUAGCUCAGUGGUAGAGCGCGUCACUAGUAGAUUACCUUUCAGUAGUCUAUGACGAGGUCAGUCGUUCAAGUCGGCUAGAGGGAA